rfam:Oreochromis niloticus linkage group LG11, whole genome shotgun sequence.
AAAAAGGUUUUUUUGGGGGGUUUUUUUACUGUAAAAACCACAAACAUGCUUAAAGAAUCAUUUU